rnacentral:rRNA from 1 species
AUGCAUGGUAAGUGUUUUGCUUCACUCACGAUCAUCACCGCCUGGACCAUUUGGAAGCAUAGAAACCCGAUCAUCUUUGAGGGCAUGCAUCCAUCCAACUCCCAACUCCUCAACGUUAUCAUGGACGGGGCCAGGCGAUGGGCGCGUGCGGGCGCCAAGGGACUAGAUAGAAUUAUACUCAUAGCCUGA